rnacentral:lncRNA from 1 species
AACCAAGGCAGGCAGUGGUUCAGUCUCUAUAACUAACUGUGGAUACAGGCAGUGGUUCAGUCUCUAUAACUAACUGUGGAUUCAGGCAGUGGUUCAGUCUCUGUAACUAACUGUGGAUUCAGGCAGUGGUUCAGUCUCUAUAACUAACUGUGGAUUCAGGCAGUGGUUCAGUCUCUAUAACUAGCUGUGGAUUCAGGCAGUGGUUCAGUCUCUAUAACUAACUGUGGAUACAGGCAGUGGUUCAGUCUCUAUAACUAACGGUGGAUUCAGGCAGUGGUUCAGUCUCUAUAACUAACGGUGGAUUCAGGCAGUGGUUCAGUCUCUGUAACUAACUGUGGAUUCAGGCAGUGGUUCAGUCUCUAUAACUAACUGUGGAUUCAGGCAGUGGUUCAGUCUCUAUAACUAACUGUGGAUUCAGGCAGUGGUUCAGUCUCUAUAACUAACUGUGGAUACAGGCAGUGGUUCAGUCUCUAUAACUAGCUGUGGAUUCAGGCAGUGGUUCAGUCUCUAUAACUAACUGUGGAUUCAGGCAGUGGUUCAGUCUCUAUAACUAACUGUGGAUUCAGGCAGUGGUUCAGUCUCUAUAACUAACGGUGGAUUCAGGCAGUGGUUCAGUCUCUAUAACUAACUGUGGAUUCAGGCAGUGGUUAAGUCUCUAUAACUAACUGUGGAUUCAGGCAGUGGUUCAGUCUCUAUAACUAACUGUGGAUUCAGGCAGUGGUUCAGUCUCUGUAACUAACUGUGGAUACAGGCAGUGGUUAAGUCUCUAUAACUAACUGUGGAUACAGGCAGUGGUUAAGUCACUAUAACUAGCUGUGGAUUUGGGCAGUGGUUCAAUCUCUAUAGCUAAUUGUGGAUUCAGGCAGUGGUUCAGUCUCUAUAACUAACUGUGGAUUCAGGCAGUGGUUCAGUCUCUAUAACUAACUGUGGAUUCAGGCAGUGGUUCAGUCUCUAUAACUAACUGUGGAUUCAGGCAGUGGUUCAGUCUCUAUAACUAGCUGUGGAUUCAGGCAGUGGUUCAGUCUCUAUAACUAACUGUGGAUUUGGGCAGUGGGUCGGGGUGAGUGGCCCCGUUACCUCUGAGGAAUGUUCGGUGACCUUUUGACCCCACCAGACUCCAAGGGUGUUAGCCCCACUGACAGCACACACACACACACACACACACACACACACACACACACACACACACACACACACACACACACACACACACACACACACACACACACACACACACACACACACACACACACACACACACACACACACUCUACAGGCUGCAGCAGAGCAGAGGCCAUUUGGUGCUCCCAAUAAAUUAUUUACCCCUACCCCCAAAC